rfam:Serendipita vermifera MAFF 305830 unplaced genomic scaffold scaffold_150, whole genome shotgun sequence.
AAGAACUUAGUAUAGUGGUUAAUACAGUGAUCUUCAAAAUCAUUAAGGGUUGUUCGAUCCGACCAGUUCUUG